AUUUUUCUUGGCCGACCAAAGGAAGAAAAGGGAAGAAAAGAAGAAGAACAAAAACCUAGCUAAGAAAUUCAAGAGAAAUUCACAAAAUUUCAAAGAAUCAAGUGACAAAAGGUAAGAUUUUUCAAUUCUAGCUUGUGAUUUACCAUUCCUAUGCAUUCUUUUUCAUUUUCCAUGAUUGAGAAUCAAGUUUGCAUGAGGAUACCCUUGCUGGCCGGACAUGGGGGGAGGAGUUUUGAACUUGGAUUUGGUUAUAUUUCAAUGUAUUCUAGUGUUUUCAGUUAGUUAGUGAUGUGUAGCAUGAAAAACAAAUAAGAAAAAUUCAUUUUCUCCCAUCACCCAUCAUUGGCCGAAUUUUUCAUGUAGAGUGUGGAUGGUGGAUUUGAUUUUAUUUCAAGUGAAUUGGUUAGGAAAUGAUGAAUUACGGUGAGAAAAUCAAGUAGGAAAAAUCAUAGUGUUGAUGCACCCACCAUGGCCAAAUUUCCCAAGAGAAAAUGUGAAGAUGAUUUUGCUAAAUUUUAUGUUAUUUGACUUGUGUUUGAUGGUUUGGAGAAUUGGAAGAAAAAUGGAGUUAAUUGGAGUUGAAUUGGGCAUAUUGGCCAAUUAAUCGAGUGAUAGAUCGAAUUAGGCCAAUAUCGUUUUAUUUAGGUACACAAUUGAAUUUGUGUAGAACACCGUGUUUAGACGACAAUCCAAACAAUUUGCAUUCCAUUUCAUGCAUCCAUAUAGUUUUAUAACAGUUUAGCACCAAUGUGGUAAAUUGCUUGAUUGUGCAUUAUGUCUAGGUGGUGAAUCCUACGAUAAGGGCAAAGAAAUUGUACCCGAGGAUCGAUAGUCGGAGUACUCUAAAAAUUCGACUCCCAAAAUAGUGAGUAACCUUAUCAUCAUUUUAAUUAUCUAAAGUGGUCUUUUUAUUCAAUUUUGUGAAUGUUAUGGAAAAUGAGUUUAAAUGGUUAAUUUUUAGGUUUUAUAAACAAAAUGUAUUUAAAUGAAAUGAUUUUAUAAAUUGUCUUGAAAUUGAAUGAUGGCUUUGAAAAUAAAGUAAUUGGAGACCAUUUGAUGUAUUGUGAAUUUAUGGUUCUAAUUGAUUGGCUUAUGGCAAUAUUGGCAUGAAUAGCUGAAUUGGUAUUUGUGUUGAAAAUGUAUAAACUGUUGUUUGCCUUGAUAGGUUGGAUAAUGAUAAAAUUGCCAUGUCAUGCUGUUGAAUAUUUAUUGUAUGGUGGGUUUAGCUUGCUAUAGUGGGCGGGUUCUGCGAACCAUCCUAUUAGAGGGGCACGGAAUCCGGUUAUAUACGUACCUCAGUCGGAGAGGUGCGUAGGGUAUCUUUUGAGGUAUGGUUAGAGUUCACGUCACGCCGAACCACCUCGUGAUGAUGAACUCCGCUAACGCCAAGGAACGGCUGUGUUUUUUAAACUAAAAAUAUGUUUACGUGUAUACGAAAUUUUUAAUAGCCUUGGCAGACUCCGUUAGAUGCCUCGGCCAAGGUAUUCCCAAGAAAAAUUUUGGAAGGAGCCAAGCUUUUAAGAUACUCAUAAGCCAUGUUGAUUAUUUAAAUGAAAUGAAUAUUUAUGUUAUAAAUUACAUAUUGAGAUUGAAUAUUUUAAUUGUCUCCAUUUACUCGACUUUAGAUAUUUUGGAUGGUGUUUGUUUACUCACUGGGAUUAUAUAAUCUCACCACCUUCCUUUCCACCCAUUUCAUGCUCAGAAUAGGCUGUAGAUAGCUGAUAUCGUCAAAGGCUACAGUUGGCUUUACUUCCUCAAAAAUCGUAGGUUCACAACCUUCGUUCACUUUUGUCAUUUGGGGGCCCACGUGUCAUUGUAAAUUAAAUUACAUAUCUUGACUAUCUGUAUUACAGUAUGUAUG
rnacentral:lncRNA from 1 species